GGCUCAGAACGAACGCUGGCGGCAUGCCUAACACAUGCAAGUCGAACGAAGUCUUCGGACUUAGUGGCGCACGGGUGCGUAACGCGUGGGAAUCUGCCCUUGGGUGCGGAAUAACUUCUCGAAAGGGAUGCUAAUACCGCAUAAUGUCGUAAGACCAAAGAUUUAUCGCCCAAGGAUGAGCCCGCGUAAGAUUAGCUAGUUGGUGGGGUAAAAGCCUACCAAGGCGACGAUCUUUAGCUGGUCUGAGAGGAUGAUCAGCCACACUGGGACUGAGACACGGCCCAGACUCCUACGGGAGGCAGCAGUGGGGAAUAUUGGACAAUGGGCGAAAGCCUGAUCCAGCAAUGCCGACGUGAGUGAUGAAGGCCCUAGGGUUGUAAAGCUCUUUUACCAGGGAUGAUAAUGACAGUACCUGGAGAAUAAGCUCCGGCUAACUCCGUG
rnacentral:rRNA from 1 species